GGGGGCGGGAGCAGAGAGACAAGGAAAUGCUGUCACCGCGGUUAACACGCACGUGGAGGUUGGUUAAAGGGAAGACCUGGGUUUUAGUCCUGUCUCCAUCAACCUCAAGAAAUGGGACCUCAUGGAAGGGAGGGGAGGCAAUGCCGAGGAUGUGCUCCUGAGCAGGUGCCACAAUUCUUCACCUGUAAGGCUGAUCUAAGAAGAUUCCUAAUUAUCAAUUGAGAGCAGAGAUAUUCCACUUCCAAUUACAUGGCCUGCCUGCUCACUCUUACUUCCUAUUCACACUCUCUUGGAGACCACUUUGUGAUUCUACCAAAUUCUAUAGGAGAGGUGACAACCCCAAAGAGAAGGCUCUAGAAAGAUGACAUUUGGAAAUGUGUACGCUAGUGUCUGCUGGCUCCUCCUGAGCCAUUUUUACUCUGUGAAUGAGAUCAAAGGCCACCUAACUGCCUAAAUCACCACAAAGGGACAAACUGGUAUCUCAGAGCACUCAGCAACAAAAACAAGAAAGCUAAGCCUCUGCACUGCAAUGUGGCAGGGCUUCUGGCUAAGUAUAGCAAGCAAUUCUGAUGUGGAGACAAACAGCAGCAAUGGGAAUGAUAUGCCAAUGAAGGAUUCCAACAGUUGGGUCUGCAAGUGUGCUUGUCCUGUGACACAAACGGCCUAGACAUCUCAGCACUGCUUGGAGCUGCUCAUUGGGGGAGCCUAAGAAACAUCAGCCCUUUCACAACCUCUUGCUCCUGAGCAGAGCUCAUCUCCCAAGAGCACAUCAGCCCGCAGCCCAGUCUGAUGAGAAGCACAGUAUUCCCCUGUGCCAGUGGCAGCCUCAGAGCAUCCUGAAAGAGCGCUUCCUAGACACGCAGUGGAAGCCAUGACUUCCCCUAAGCUGCCGGUGCUGCCUCUGAACUCAUGUGGAGGUUCUUUUUUCAGUGUCCCCAGAGGCAGCAGAAAAAUCCGUUUUCCAUUUUGGAAUCUAUCAAGUAGGACAAAUCUGCCACCUGGGAGCAUCUCCUCAAGGGCAAUCUCUGCUCCCUUUCCUACAUGGCCUGACAAUACCCUCGAGUUAGAAAUGUCCCAUGUUGGCUAGGCACAGUGGCUCAUGCCUGUAAUCCCAGCACUUUGGGAGGCUGAGGUGGGAGGAUUGCUUGAGGCCAGGAGUUUUGAGACCAGCCUGACAUAGAGAGACUAUGCCUCUAUUAUUUUAAAAAAAGAAAUGUCACAUAUUUUUACCCUCUUCACUCAUCUUUCCACCUUGCUCCAAUAGAUUGCUGACAGAAAAGUGAGACCUCCUCCACCCCAAGGUCUCCUAAGAGAAUGCUGCUAGCCAAAAAAAGAUCUGCUGAUAAUUGAGGAAGAGCAUCUUUAAAAAGACACUCAACUACAUUUCAGAAACAUAAAGAUCUAAGUGUUGGCUCUACAAGGGAAGAAAUAAAGAGAAAGAACUUUUUUUCCUCCUACAACAGGUCUAGACAACGUCAUACAAGGAGUUGCACGCAUAUCCAAAACAAAAGCAAGGCAAAAACAAGCAAAAAAGCAACAAAUGCAUUCCAAAAUGAUGUCCAUUUAUCAGCCCAGAAAUGUACUGGAUACUGGUUUAGUUCAGCCUGUAGGUGCUGGGAAGAAAUUCCGACAAAUCCAAGUCAGUUGCAAAAAGGGAAAACUCCAGACAUAUCACCCAAUGAACUUGUAAGAAAGCAUAUGAGCUUCCCUGAACAGAUUUUACUCCAGGUUUGCAGCCCGCAAGAUUUAAGAUGGGGCCAUGAGGUUAAAUCUUGUAAACUCAGAAGUGUUCACGCUACUGCAUCCCUAAACUCUGUAACUCUCUACAUACUCUUUAAAGCAGUGUUUCUCUGCAUCUUUCAUUCCAUAGCCAUUGUCCACCUGAUCCAAAAUAUCCUAAGUUUUUCAGUGUUUGGAAGCAGGGUUUCCAAUUUUUGUGUAUACAGAAAAGGGGGGUGUGUGUGAAAAAAUAAGUAUUAGAAAAAAAACAUGUUAUACAUAUCUAUCACAGAAAUGAGUGGGCAAGGUUUAGAAGAUGGCUGAAACCAAGCCAAUACUAAGGUCUACUGGUUGGCUGCAACAAGUUUAAAAUGUCUUCAUAAGGGCCCUGGUUGGGCAAUACUAUACUUGCUGACAGUACUUGGGAUCUGCCACAGACCUAUAGCAAAGGACUGUUCAACUU
rnacentral:lncRNA from 10 species